rnacentral:sRNA from 1 species
UAGAGCCUUUGCAAGGUUCUAGAUGGCAUAGAGGAAUGGUAGAACCUUUACAGGGUUCUAGGAGCUAUAAAUGAAAGGUAGAGGCCUUACAGGGUCCUGGGUUAUGAAGUGAUGGCAGAACCAUUAUAGGUUUUAGGAUUCUAAGCAUUAUAAUGAGAUUCUAGAAUCUUUACAGGUUUCCAGGUGCUGUAGAGGGAUGGUAUAACCUUUACAAAGUAUGACUUAGUGAACAGAGGUUAGAUGAAUAAGUUAGGAAGUCAGGAAAAAUGGGAUGAUCCCUGGAAGGGAAUACUUGGAUUCUGUCCCUCUCUUUUUUUCUUUAAUCCCAGCCACUAAAAGAAAAGAACUGGCUUCCAAGAAAUAACAACAAACCAUAACAAAACAAAUAAAAUAAAGUAAAAUGAAAACUAUCACAUCAAAUUUGGACAAGACAAACCAUCAGAUGGAAAAGAGCCAAAGAGAAGACGCAAGAAUCAGAGACCCACUCAUUCACAGACUCAGGAAUGCCAUAAAAACACUAAACCAUAAUGUAAAAAAAUGGAGGACUUUCUGAAGAACUGUGCAUACUGCUUCAGUCUCUGUUUGCCUGAGCUUGGAGUAUGAGAUAGAGACAUCAUAUUUAGAGCUGUUUGUUCCAAGGAUAUGAGUAAUGGAUUAAAACAACACAAGACAAAAAAAAACAAAAAAAAAACAACCAAACAACAACAACAACAACAACACCCAACAACUUUGAAAUCUGAAGCCCGAAAGGAAAACUGCAAUGCUACUUGGGUCCACUAGGGAAGAAAGUGAAGGAGCUAGCAAGUAAUACACUUUAUAUUCCCAGGAAGAACUGAUACCUCCAGAAACAAGAUGGAAGGUCAUUUGAAUCGAGGAGAGACUGAGAUUGAGGUUAUGAUUAUGGAUAGAUGGAAGUGUGUGCAGAAGACACAGUCUAUAAGAAUGAGAACAAGUGGUUAAACACACGACUUAUUACUGUGUGUGCAGAGUCAUAAGGGCUGGUGUCUGACCACUGGCAUCCCUGGGAAGACUCUUCCUCACCUUUGUAUCUGUCUGAGAAAGCUUCUUGUGCAUGAGUUUGGGCCAUUUGAUAUGUGCAGAGCAUAUCUGAUUAAAAGCACAGAAGGAGUUGGAGAAUGAUUUGAGUUGGACUGAUUGUGAGAAGCAUAGGAAUAAUGUUUCCGAAAGGCUAGCACACAGAUCACCUGAGAAGCAGGGUGUGCGGAGGCAUAAACAGCAAACCACAUUCAAACGUUUCACACUGAGCAGAGAAGAGCACUGAGGAAAAUCUACAAUGCUGAGAAAACAGAAUGCACUUGAAUCUGGGUCCUGGAGAAGCUAAGGGAGUUUACCAUUCCCACAAGCAGAGAGUUUUCUGUUGCAGUCCAGGGUGAAUGAGUAUUCAGGCAGAAGCAGGCGUUGCUCCAGGACAGGAUUUCUGCAAACUGUUUCCUCCCAAAAUGUCAAAACAUCGGGCAAUCAGCUUCAUCAUGCAUCAUUUUAAGAGGACAAUUCUCUGUGGAUCAGAACAAAGUCAGACAAUAUUAUUUUAGACAAACAGCCUCGAUCAAAAUUGCCAUUUUACCCUUAGGAGCAUUCUAUACAGAAGCAAACUGUAUUUGUAUUUUUCCUGAUUAAUAUCUCUGGCUAAGGAAAUCUUUCCCAUAGAAUGUCCCUUUAUUUCA